rnacentral:lncRNA from 1 species
CGGAGCUUAACAUGCAAUUCCACAUUAGACAUUGUCUCCAUCUAGUGGUUAUUUCCUGUCACAACAUUUCAGUUGGUAAAUAUGGGAUUAGAAUCCCGCCAAAUGUAUUGCAGUCACAGAUCGAAAAAUAAUAAGCAUAAAUUAAAAAAAUAAAAACACGUGUAAAAUAAUAACGCACAAAACCGAAAAACAAAUGAAUUUUUUUUCAACGCGGUGAUGGAUCUAAAAAUAAUAAGUGUGAAUCAAAAAUGUAAACACAUUUAAAAUUAUAUUGCACAAAACUGAAACAUGUGUUAAAAAAAAAUCCAAAUCGCAAACAAAAUCAGGUUUCCUGCUCACGUGUUAUUUUUUUGUGUGCUUGUGGUCUUUCCCCCUUUGCUCUGGUUUCCACGUUCUGCGCUUGCGUUUCUAAAAGUUGCAGUUAGAGUUUCAUGUAAAUCAGGGCGGGCUUCAGUGUCACUAUUGGCCAACAAGUUCUAGAUUGACAGCUUCUCCUCUAGCCAAUCAGUCCAAGGGGGAGUUGACGUCACUCCAAUGCGACUCAUGGCUGCUGUGAGAGGAUGGAUAACCAGCGUCAGCAGGCAAAUGCCAGACAAUCUCAGCAGACCGAAUACCUGGAUGUGCUUAGUGCAGCACAGAGCCUCAUCUCUGUGCUAACACAGACUCUUAAUCAGAGUCCUGUAACACCACGUCCUCAAGUUCAAGUGCAGGGUCAGGGGCAGCAGGCAGUCUUACCAGAAAGACAGACAAAUACCACCAUUGAUCAGGACAUGGCCAGGGCCUUUCCAAGCAUGUUCCGAAGACAUGCAAUCUGCGGGAAAAAAAGAAUAAAUGUAGCAUCCAGAACACAUACCAAGAAUGCAAAAGCAUUUAAACCUUUUGAUUUAAAUGUAUAUCUUUUGGAUAAAAAUUCUGAGACUACCCCUUCACCUGCACACGAGCUCAAGCUUGUUCAAGCAGGGUUUGGCAAAAGGACAAUCUCAAUUACAAUGGACAUAACACAUUCAGAGGUAUGUUAG